ensembl:lncRNA
CAUCUCCUCCCUCUGCUCCCAGAGACGGUGUGUGUGACUUCCCAGGCCAUGUCUUCCCAUGGGCUCCCCAAUUUUGCUCAUCUCAGUGCUGUGGAGGAGGGAUGGGACAGAGGGCAGAACAGCAUUCUGCUGCUGGAGGGUACAGUGGAGACCCGUCUGCACCUCUGCAGGUAUUCAAGCUUUGAAGCUGGAAGGUCAUCUUCAUGAACCAUCACUAGAACUACCUACAUCCCAGAUCAAGUUGUGCCCAGCACCAUCCAGGCUGCUGCCACAAGAUGUGCACAGGCUUUCCCUACGCUGCAGCAGCCCCAGAAUGCUAAGCUGAUUUCUGAG